rnacentral:rRNA from 1 species
CAAUAGCGUAUAUUAAAGUUGUUGCAGUUAAAAAGCUCGUAGUUGGAUUUCGGGGCAGCCUGGCUGGUCCGCCGCAAGGCGAGUACUGGUCAGCCGCCCUUCCUCUCGAAAGCCCCGACUGCUCUUUAUUGCAGUGGUCGGGUAGUUCGGGACGUUUACUUUGAAAAAAUUAGAGUGUUCAAGGCAGGCCUACGCCUGAAUACAUUAGCAUGGAAUAAUGGAAGAGGACCUCGGUCCUAUUUUGUUGGUUUCCAGGACCGAAGUAAUGAUUAAGAGGGACAGUUGGGGGCACUCGUAUUUAAUUGUCAGAGGUGAAAUUCUCGGAUUUAUGAAAGACGAACAACUGCGAAAGCAUUUGCCAAGGAUGUUUUCAUUAA